AUUGAACGCUGGCGGCAGGCCUAACACAUGCAAGUCGAGCGGAUGAAGGGAGCUUUCUCCUGGAUUCAGCGGCGGACGGGUGUGUAAUGCCUAGGAAUCUGCCUGGUAGUGUGGGAUAACGUCCGGAAACGGGCGCUAAUACCGCAUACGUCCUGAGGUAGAAAGUGGGGGAUCUUCGGACCUCACGCUAUCAGAUGAGCCUAGGUCGGAUUAGCUAGUUGGUGGGGUAAAGGCCUACCAAGGCGACGAUCCGUAACUGGUCUGAGAGGAUGAUCAGUCACACUGGAACUGAGACACGGUACAGACUCCUACGGGAGGCAGCAGUGGGGAAUAUUGGACAAUGGGCGAAAGCAUGAUCCAGCAAUGCCGCGUGUGUGAAGAAGGUCUUCGGAUUGUAAAGCACUUUAAGUUGGGAGGAAGGGAAGUAAGUUAAUACAUUGCGGUUUUGACGUUACCAACAGAAAAAGCACCGGCUAACUACGUG
rnacentral:rRNA from 1 species